rnacentral:rRNA from 1 species
AGUACGGCCGCAAGGUUAAAACUCAAAUGAAUUGACGGGGGCCCGCACAAGCGGUGGAGCAUGUGGUUUAAUUCGAUGCAACGCGAAGAACCUUACCUACUCUUGACAUCCAGAGAACUUAGCAGAGAUGCUUUGGUGCCUUCGGGAACUCUGAGACAGGUGCUGCAUGGCUGUCGUCAGCUCGUGUUGUGAAAUGUUGGGUUAAGUCCCGCAACGAGCGCAACCCUUAUCCUUUGUUGCUAGCGGUCCGGCCGGGAACUCAAAGGAGACUGCCAGUGAUAAACUGGAGGAAGGUGGGGAUGACGUCAAGUCAUCAUGGCCCUUACGAGUAGGGCUACACACGUGCUACAAUGGCGCAUACAAAGAGAAGCGACCUCGCGAGAGCAAGCGGACCUCAUAAAGUGCGUCGUAGUCCGGAUUGGAGUCUGCAACUCGACUCCAUGAAGUCGGAAUCGCUAGUAAUCGUGGAUCAGAAUGCCACGGUGAAUACGUUCCCGGGCCUUGUACACACCGCCCGUCACACCAUGGGAGUGGGUUGCAAAAGAAGUAGGUAGCUUAACCUUCGGGAGGGCGCUUACCACUUUGUGAUUCAUGACUGGGGUGAAGUCGUAACAAGGUAACCGUAGGGGAACCUGCGGUUG